ensembl:snRNA U6 U6 spliceosomal RNA
GUGCUCGUUUCGGCAGCACAUAUACUAAAAUUGGAACAAUACAGAGAAAAUUAGCAUGGCCUCCGCACAUGGAUGACAUGCAAAUUUGUGAAGCGUUCCAUAUUUUU